UACGGAAGGCAGCAGUGGGGAAUAUUGCACGAUGGGCGCAAGCCUGAUGCAGCCAUGCCGCGUGUAUGAAAAAGGCCUUCGGGUUGUAAAGUACUUUCAGUCGUGAGGAGGUGUUAAGGUUAAUAACCUUAGCAAUUGACGUUAGCGACAGAAGAAGCACCGGCUAACUCCGUGCCAGCAGCCGCGGUAAUACGGAGGGUGCGAGCGUUAAUCGGAAUUACUGGGCGUAAAGGGCACGCAGGCGGUUAAUUAAGUUGGAUGUGAAAUCCCCGGGCUUAACCUGGGAAUGGCAUUCAAGACUGGUUAGCUAGAGUCUUGUAGAGGGGGUAGAAUUCCAUGUGUAGCGGUGAAAUGCGUAGAGAUGUGGAGGAAUACCGGUGGCGGAAGGCGGGCCCCUGGACAAAGACUGACGCUCAUGUGCGAAAGCGUGGGGAGCAAACGAGGGAUUAGAUACC
rnacentral:rRNA from 1 species